rnacentral:rRNA from 1 species
CAGCAGCCGCGGUAAAACGUAGGUGGCAAGCGUUGUCCGGAAUUAUUGGGCGUAAAGGGCUCGCAGGCGGUUUCUUAAGUCUGAUGUGAAAGCCCCCGGCUCAACCGGGGAGGGUCAUUGGAAACUGGGGAACUUGAGUGCAGAAUAGGAGAGUGGAAUUCCACGUGUAGCGGUGAAAUGCGUAGAGAUGUGGAGGAACACCAGUGGCGAAGGCGACUCUCUGGUCUGUAACUGACGCUGAGGAGCGAAAGCGCGGGGAGCGAACAGGAUUAGAUACCCCCGUAGUCCCUGUCUCUUAUAC